AUUGAACGCUGGCGGCAUGCUUUACACAUGCAAGUCGAACGGUAACAGGUUAAGCUGACGAGUGGCGAACGGGUGAGUAAUGCAUCGGAACGUGCCCGAUCGUGGGGGAUAACGCAGCGAAAGCUGCGCUAAUACCGCAUACGAUCUGAGGAUGAAAGCGGGGGACCGUAAGGCCUCGCGCGAUCGGAGCGGCCGAUGUCAGAUUAGGUAGUUGGUGGGGUAAAGGCUCACCAAGCCAACGAUCUGUAGCUGGUCUGAGAGGACGACCAGCCACACUGGGACUGAGACCCGGCCCAGAAUCCUACGGGAGGCAGCAGUGGGGAAUUUUGGACAAUGGGCGAAAGCCUGAUCCAGCAAUUCCGCGUGCAGGAAGAAGGCCUUCGGGUUGUAAACUGCUUUUGUACGGAGCGAAAAGGCUCUCUCUAAUACAGGGGGCUCAUGACGGUACCGUAAGAAUAAGCACCGGCUAACUACGUGCCAGCCGCCGCGGUAA
rnacentral:rRNA from 1 species